AAAUCUACCUGCACUUGUUGGUGAAACCAAGCAUUUUGUUGAUGUCAUUGGUCUGAUCGCGGAAGUGGCUGAUGCAACCCCGAUCUAGCUCAGCAAUCACAGCAAGCCUACAGCUCGAAGGACUAUUACACUUAGAGACACCAGCAACUAUCAGAUCAAACUUUAUCUUUGGGGUCAGAGAGCUUCUGAAUUUGAUGCUGAUGAGGUAUAUGCAAUCGGGGAAAAAGACCCAGUCAUUGCUAUCUUCGUUGGAACGCUUAUGAAAUCUUAUAAAGGUGUAAUCCUAGACAGCUCGGUAUUCUUUGGUCCCUACAGACUAUUUGCAUGCCCUUUUUUUAGAAUUGCUUCCGUCCCUGUGAUUUCCUUUUCAGGUGAGCAUUCGCUGAGCACAAAUACAGCUUGUCGGUGGUACAACAACCCUGAUGUCCCUGAGACCCAUGAUAUUCUGCACAGCCUACAUGGCAGUUUCGAGCCUGUGCAGCGCAUUCCAGCGGAUGACCAAGUCCCUGUUCCUCAACCUGUGAAUCUUGAGCCACAGCACAAAACUUUAGAAGAGAUGUUUCGCAUUAGUCCAUACGACUUCCCACCUGAAGGCUUCUGAUGCACCGUUAUUAUUUCGCGAAUCAAUCCACUUGUAUCCUGGUGUUUCCCAUCGUGCAAUUGCUGCACCAAAACUGCGCUUCCUGAUGGAGCUGGAUAUAAAUGCCCGCACUGCAAAUGCACAGCCUCCAAGUUCAAGUAAUGGUUUCUUGCUAUACAUAUGUGUGCCUCCUACAAAUUCUCGUACCGUCAUUAGAAUUUGUGCUUUUUGGUGAUAUGGGACGCCGGCUUGUUCAUAAAGAUGUCAAGCUGUUAAUGAGCUCUUCCCGCACCUUUGACGCUAUUCCAAGCGAAAUAGCCUCGUUGGUUUCCCAAAAAUACCAGUUCACAGUUAUGUAACCAGCAAGUGUUUUGAAAAGCCACAGCGCUCAUAUGAGGUGAAGCACAUCCACUGUGCCUUGGUCAUCAAGCUACCGUUCCAACAAUCAGAAGGUCCACCGAUGCAUUUCCUGAUGAGACACGAAAGGCGGUUUUGUCAAUUGCCUGUUCAUCUGACCCUUCAGAACCACACAAAGUCCACCAGGUCGAAAUUUCCUCUCUACCUCAGAACGUGAAAGAUACCCCGCCACCCAAGGACUCUCCGAACCUGACCGCGUUAAAGAACAAACAGCCUCCUUUCUCUGCUGAUCACCCAGCUGCUGCCAAAGAAGGCAGGAAUGUGUGCAGACAGCUACUCAUGGGGUUCAAACAAGCACAAUGACUCUCUUGAUGAUGACCUGGGAGACGAUUUGGGUGCUCCUACUACUAGGUGUCCACUUGGUUCUGAUGGAGAUGGUACUUCUGAUGUUCCCAGUGGUGAUACCGCAGCCUAGUGAGCCUUCUUUGAAUUCCUCAACAAAAUAGCUAGCGGUAGGUACUCUUCCUUACAAGCUCUUCACCGCCAUUAUUAGUCAUCCGUUUGCUCCUUCUGUUACUUCCAGGUACGAAGUUAAUGGCCUGCGCUUUCAUUUUGUUGUGGAUAUCGAUCUUGGCUGGACCCUACCAGCCAUGAACCUUCGUAUAUAUAAUCGCCUUAGUCGUUAGCCUCGCCAUUCUGUGACCUCCUGCCUAUGUAACGUAGCUCUACCUCGCGCUCUGCUAAACCUGCAUGGUUCGGCUCCGAGCUAAGUGUAGGGGCUGACUUUUGAACAACCAUUUCUGUAAAUACCUACUCAGGUUCCUAUCAGUCCUUUUGGUGUA